rnacentral:rRNA from 1 species
GUGGGGAAUAUUGGACAAUGGGGGCAACCCUGAUCCAGCGACGCCGCGUGUGUGAAGAAGGCCUGCGGGUUGUAAAGCACUUUUAGUGGGGAUGAAAAGCUCAGGGUUAAUAACUCUGGGUCUUGACCUAACCCACAGAAAAAGCACCGGCUAACUCUGUGCCAGCAGCCGCGGUAAUACAGAGGGUGCGAGCGUUAAUCGGAAUUACUGGGCGUAAAGCGUGCGUAGACGGUCAUGUAAGUCGGGUGUGAAAUCCCCGGGCUCAACCCGGGAAUUGCAUUCGAGACUGCAUGGCUAGGGUGCGGAAGAGGGAAGCGGAAUUUCCGGUGUAGCGGUGAAAUGCGUAGAUAUCGGAAGGAACAUCAGUGGCGAAAGCGGCUUCCUGGUCCAGCACCGACGUUCAGGCACGAAAGCGUGGGGAGCAAACAGGAUUAGAAACCCGAGUAGUCC